AUUGAACGCUGGCGGCAGGCCUAACACAUGCAAGUCGAACGAGCGGCGGACGGGUGAGUAAUGUAUGGGAAUCUGCCCGAUCGAGGGGGAUAACUACUGGAAACGGUGGCUAAUACCGCAUACUAUCGGAUGUGCCCAUAUGGGAUUAGCUAGUAGGUGGGGUAAAGGCUCACCUAGGCGACGAUCUCUAGCUGGUCUGAGAGGAUGAUCAGCCACACUGGAACUGAGACACGGUCCAGACGCCUACGGGAGGCAGCAGUGGGGAAUAUUGCACAAUGGGCGCAAGCCUGAUGCAGCCAUGCCGCGUGUAUGAAGAAGGCCUUCGGGUUGUAAAGUACUUUCAGCGGGGAGGCGUUACCCGCAGAAGAAGCACCGGCUAACUCCGUGCCAGCAGCCGCGGUAAUAC
rnacentral:rRNA from 1 species